rnacentral:lncRNA from 1 species
GCCAAAACCGACCUCACCAAUGGCGCAGCCCCUCGUCUCAGCUCGCCCAGCUUUGCCUUGCAGUCGGGCCGAGACUCGGGUCCCUUUCAAGUCCCCAGACUCGGGUCCCUUCAAAUCGUCGCCUCCCAGGCCGGCUCCCCGUGGCUGAGAAGCAGGCCGGGCAUUCGGGCCAGCCCGGCGAUCCCGCGGCCGGAGUUGCACUCGCCCCGCCCUCGGUCUCCCGCGCCCUCGGACUCACAGACAGCAAUGCUCAGUUCCCGGCGAGCGUGAGAGCCGCACAAGGCCCUGGCACCACACCGGAUUCAACGACGCCAGAACGACCCGAACCUGCAGACUAACCCGCCGACCCGGUAGCUGACGCGCCGAAAGGCGGAGCCUCGGCAUUCAGCCAAUCGCCUCUCGCCGCCGCCCACCGCGCCCGUGGCUUCCGUGCGCCUGCGCACCCAGCCAAGGUGCGUGCAGUCUCUGGAAGAGGUCACCGAGGUUCCUCUUGCCUUAGGAGUGUGUGCCCUCUGACCUUGCCGUCUGACCCUCCGCUUCCGGCUCCAAGUGUCUGCCGGCGAGGACAAAAGAGACUCUCACUAGCGGCAAACACGAGAAUAUACAUAUAUUUUUUCCAAGGUA